GGCCAUUUUCGCACCAUGGCCAUUUCGCAGGUUAACAAAGCGACACUAUAGCGUCUUGCCAGCUGCCGUAUCUGUCGACCUCGGCAGCCACCUUGUCGGCGACCAGGUACAACGUCACAGCUGCUCGAGGUUCCUGCUGUGUUUCUUUUGGUUCGCGCUGCGUGAUCGGACAACAAGAAAACUGCUCGCUCCAGAGACGUACUUGCUUCCACGAGACUUCAAGGAGACUCGGCUUCACGCAACCACUGUAAAGGUAACCUCGGUCACGGGGCCCACAGUUGAUUCUGCGCCAGAAUCAUGCUUCCGUACUUUCAACAUCACCCUGCGUGCUGACAGUAUUGCGCUCUUCGUAUGGCUGACGGCUCGCCAUCUGAGCGGUCGCUUCUCUGACAACGGAUUCUUGCUCAAGAAUCCAACUAUUAUUGUUCACUUUCACACGCGAGAAAAGGUAACUGCCGAAGCGCUCGAGAAAGCCGUAAUGAUAGAAACUCUCGCAAAUUACGUGAGA